UCACUUUAAGCAUUGCAAUAUUUUCUUAGCGAAUAUUCGUGUGGAUAAACUUUGUUUUCCACCAAGUUGUAAGAUUUUUUACAUAGAGUUCUAUACUUAAUUUAUAUUGACAAAAGCCAAUUGGCUAGCUAAAUUGUUUGGUGAUUACAUAAAAUAUAUAUAUAUAUCAUGUCCAGCGAAGAUCAAAGUUAUGACUCUAGUGAUUCGACCACGGAAAAAACUAAAUAUGCUUCGAGUUCACACAAAAAAUCUAAGAAAGAAAAGAAACAUAAAAAAUCAAGUAAAAGCGAAAAGUCGCAUAGGAAGCACAAGAAGUCCAAGAAAAGGCACCAUAAACACAGCGAGUCCUCGGUUUCUGAAGAUACCGGUGACAAACAUCGUAGUGGUGCACUAAAUGAAAAGUUCACCGAAAUAAUGCACAAGGUCACCAAAGAUGUCAAACCACGAUCUGAUCAACAGGCAAAUGGAGGUAGGUUUAGUAUAACAAAGCCAAAUCUACAAACUGAUCCUGGAAGUCUGGUGGAGGAGAUUACUAAGACUAUUCAAAAUAAUAUCUAUCCCACUAUGGAAGUAGCGUCAUCCGGUAGUGAAAGUGAAAUUCAAAAUGAUGUGGCUAGUCCAGAUGUUGCUAUCAUAGAAGACGAACUGAACCUAGAGGAAUUAAUGAAACAAAAGGCUUUGCUUCAAGCUCGCUUAGGUGCAUACUUAUCGGAAUCCGAUGGCGAAGGCAGUCUACCCAAUGAAGUACCAAUGAUAAAUCGUAGUGCACCCAAAGAAACGACAGACGAUGAAAAAAUUAGUACUGGCACCAAGCAACCAGUCAAAAAGCGGUCAUUGUCAUCUUCAUCGUCAAUCAGUAAAAAUGUUAUUAGUAAACAAAGUAAAAAACAUAUUUCAAAUGAACCUGAUGUUAUAUUAUUGGAUGAUUCUAGCGGAGGACAACGUACUCCAGAAUCUAAACGUAAACCUUCCCGUUCAUAUGGGACCAGUAAAGAUGAGCGUAUGUCAUCACCACACAGGAAAUCCAUGGGUGAGCAUUACCAUCAACAUCGUCAUGCUCAGCAGGAGUUACAAGAAACACGUGGGCAUAGUUCUCGAGACCGACACUCACAUCCUGGCAAACGUAGCCGCAGUCGUUCGCAGCGUAGAGAUUCGGAGACGAACAUUCAACGACGUCGUGACGACAGCCACGGCCGUGGUCGAAAUCGUCGUGAUAUGCAUGAUCAAAACAGAAACAAAGAGGAUCUUCGUCUUGAAAUAAAUCGGGAUAAACAGCGCGAGCGAGAUACUAGCCGAGAUCGAGAUAGACGUGGACGAGAUGAUCGAAUUAGGCAGCAAGAGCGUAGUGGUGGAGACAACUACGGUAACGCACGUGGUCGAGAGCGUGAAAGAGAACGUGAUCGAGACCGUCGAAUGCGUUCACAUAGCCGUAGUAAAGUAGAAUCGGAUCGGCGACGCGUGGAACGGGAACGCCAACGCGAUGGCAAAUCCGAUCGAGAUGGUUGGAGAGGUGAGGAUCGUGGUCGAGAUCGCGAUAAGGACCGAUAUCGUGGAUCGCUUAGUGAAGGGCAGAAAGCUGAAAUCAAAGACACAAGUAGUGAUGAUGACGGCAACAUAGAUAUUGAUAUCAACGAAGAUGAAGACGAAGAGGAGAAAAUUAUAGAGAUGAGAAGAAAGCAGCGCGAGGAGUUGUUAAAAAAACUUGGUGGCAAGAAAGAAGCAUCACUACCAAAUAAUACCACACAUUCUCGAAGGGACCGCAGUACACCAAUAAAAGAUGAUUUAGAAGAUAAUGCGCCGUUGAUACAAAGCAAACAAGAAACACAAGCAACUGUAACAGAAGUGUCUGAAGUUGAGCCCAGUCAUGAGGAGGAUAAAGAUAUGGAUGAAGAUAAGAAAAUAAAAAAUACUACAAAGGAAAAACGGCCCGAGUGGGAUAUGUUUGCUGAUCAGGAUGUGGACUCUAAUUUCGAUUCUCCUAGUACAAUAGUGUUGAAUAAAACGCAAAUUGAAAAUCCAGCAUUGACAGACAACUGGGACGAUGCAGAAGGGUAUUAUCGCGUGCGCAUUGGAGAAAUUCUCGACACCCGUUAUGUAGUGAGUGGUUAUACAGGGCAAGGUGUAUUCAGUAAUGUAGUGAGAGCUCGUGAUCAAGCGCGUGGAAAUGCCAACGUGGCUGUAAAAAUUAUACGUAAUAACGAAAUAAUGCACAAAACUGGUCUGCGUGAAUUGGAGAUUCUGAAGAAGUUAAAUGAUGCCGACCCGGAAGAUAGAUUCCAUUGCUUGCGGCUUUUCCGUCACUUUUUCCAUAAGCAGCAUCUUUGUAUGGUGUUUGAGCCGCUGUCUAUGAACCUGCGAGAAGUGCUUAAAAAGUAUGGUAAAAAUGUGGGUUUACACAUAAAAGCGGUGCGCAGCUAUACACAGCAAUUGUUUUUGGCGCUUAAGCUGCUCAAAAAGACGGGUAUACUCCAUGCAGAUAUUAAGCCCGAUAACAUUCUAGUGAAUGAGAAUAAUUUGUGUUUGAAACUUUGUGAUUUUGGUUCGGCAUCUGCCAUUAAUGACAACGAAAUUACACCUUACCUAAUAUCGCGUUUCUAUCGUGCACCGGAAAUAAUAUUGGGUAUUACAUAUGAUUAUGGCAUUGACAUGUGGUCUGCUGGUUGUACAAUAUACGAGUUGUAUACCGGUAAAAUACUCUUUAGUGGCAAGAGUAACAACCAAAUGUUGAAAUUCUUCAUGGAUUUGAAAGGAAAAAUACCAAAUCGUAUUAUACGCAAGGGUCAGUUUAAAGAUCAACAUUUCGAUCAGAGCUGCAACUUUCUUUAUCAUGAAAUUGACAAAAUCACUGAACGGGAAAAAAUCGUCGUUAUGCCUGUAAUAAAAGCCUCGCGAAAUUUGCAGCAAGAGCUAAUUGCUGACCAGAAUUUACCAGACGAUCAACAUCGUAAAGUGACGCAACUGAAGGAUUUAUUGGAUAAUAUGUUUGCACUUGAUCCAUCGAAACGGAUUUCACUGAAUCAAGCACUCACGCAUCCCUUUAUACAAGAAAAGAUGUAGACGCUCUGUGAAAGAAUGUUUUUGAAGCAAAUUGAAACGAUAUGAGAAUUAAAAACGGACGCCAUACACCAGGCAUACACACAAUAAUGUCGCUGUGCAACAAACAAAAAGCGUGCAGGCGUGCUGAUGCCUACCACCACAUUCUGCUACGAACGAGUGUACAGCAUGUUUAUUAUGUUUAUUGCUCUGACGGCUGUUACACAGCGAUGUUAAAUACUUUAUAAGUAACUACUGUGUAAGAAUAUUGAAUUUCAUCGGCAGAAAAGGAAGGAUACAUUGCCUUUUUCAAAAAAUCUAACUGCUGACUUUUGCACGUUUGGAGGAGCCAUGGAGUUGGAGUGAAUUGAAACUACAAGGGUAAAGUACAGAAAUUAAGUUAAUUUGUUGGGCAAGAAAAGCGAUAAUAAUAAUUUUUUUAAACAAUUAGAUAUUUUUAAAGUAGAAAAGUGCAUAAGUUGGUUGUUCGUCCAAAACUACAUUAAGUGAAAAAUUUAAGUAUAAAAUAUUUUGAGAAAGUCGUCAAUUUUAAUUAAGUGAUUAUUGUUUUUGUGCAAAAGUAAUGUGCUUUAUCAUUUUUAUUAUUCAAAAACUGUCACAGUUAUAUGCGGAAGUGUAUGCUCCUACAGGAAGAAUGAAAUGUAAUUAUGUUAUAUAUUGAUAUACAGUCGAACUUCCAUAAUUCGAAGUUCUCCACAAAUCGAACUCUUGAAUUGGCAAUAGAAGUCAAAUUUCAUUCAAAUUACCUUCCUUAACUCAGCAUGUCUCUC